rnacentral:rRNA from 1 species
GCCCUGCAGUGGGUACGGGCAGACUAGAGUGCGGUAGGGGAGAUUGGAAUUCCCUGGUGUAGCGGUGGAAUGCGCAGAUAUCAGGAGGAACACCGAUGGCGAAGGCAGAUCUCUGGGCCGUAACUGACGCUGAGGAGCGAAAGGGUGGGGAGCAAACAGGCUUAGAUACCCUGGUAGUCCACCCCGUAAACGUUGGGAACUAGUUGUGGGGACCAUUCCACGGUUUCCGUGACGCAGCUAACGCAUUAAGUUCCCCGCCUGGGGAGUACGGCCGCAAGGCUAAAACUCAAAGGAAUUGACGGGGACCCGCACAAGCGGCGGAGCAUGCGGAUUAAUUCGAUGCAACGCGAAGAACCUUACCAAGGCUUGACAUAUACGAGAACGGGCCAGAAAUGGUCAACUCUUUGGACACUCGUAAACAGGUGGUGCAUGGUUGUCGUCAGCUCGUGUCGUGAGAUGUUGGGUUAAGUCCCGCAACGAGCGCAACCCUCGUUCUAUGUUGCCAGCACGUAAUGGUGGGAACUCAUGGGAUACUGCCGGGGUCAACUCGGAGGAAGGUGGGGAUGACGUCAAAUCAUCAUGCCCCUUAUGUCUUGGGCUUCACGCAUGCUACAAUGGCCGGUACAAAGGGCUGCAAUACCGUGAGGUGGAGCGAAUCCCAAAAAGCCGGUCCCAGUUCGGAUUGAGGUCUGCAACUCGACCUCAUGAAGUCGGAGUCGCUAGUAAUCGCAGAUCAGCAACGCUGCGGUGAAUACGUUCCCGGGUCUUGUACACACCGCCCGUCAAGUCAUGAAAGUCGGUAAC